GGAUGUGAGGGUGAUCUGGCUUGCAACAUCUGUCACCCCAUUGAUCACCAGGGUUGAUUCAGCUGAUCUGCCUGAUCUCUCCUUCCUCUCUCACCUCUCCACGUGCAUCCCUCCCAAAACUGCACAUUCAGUUGCAGAGGAUGACUACCACCGAUAGAGGAGGACCGUUCUUUGGUCAAGGGUAUACAAGUAGCUUCGCUCCCCUGCUAGAACUUCCAAACAAGCUCUCAAGGUCCUAGUAAAUAUAAAAAUUGUAUUUCGAAAAUAUUGGAGGAUUAAAAAUGUGACUUU
rnacentral:snRNA from 1 species